rnacentral:rRNA from 1 species
UACGUAGGGGGCGAGCGUUGUCCGGAUUCAUUGGGCGUAAAGAGCUCGUAGGCGGCUUGGCAAGUCGGAUGUGAAAACUCCAGGCUCAACCUGGAGCCGCCAUUCGAUACUGCUAUGGCUAGAGUCCGGUAGGGGAGUGUGGAAUUCCCGGUGUAGCGGUGAAAUGCGCAGAUAUCGGGAGGAACACCGAUGGCGAAGGCAGCACUCUGGGCCGGUACUGACGCUGAGGGGCGAAAGCGUGGGGAGCGAACAGG